rnacentral:lncRNA from 1 species
GCCUUGCCGGAGCAUCAUUAGACGCCCAGUAUAUGGAAAAGACAGGUGUGGCUUCCUGGUUUCCCUUGGGAUGAAAUUAUGGAGAGGAAGGGGAGGGUGAAGGGAUGACAGGAACUGUCGGAAUGACUGAGAUGCAUUGCAUACAAAAAGACCUGAUGCAGCCCUAAUAGUGACUCUUUUAUGGCAGCUCAUCCCCCAGAGACGACUUUCUCCCACAAUGCCCUGACCCUGAGAUCUAUGUGUGGAAUUCUCUGCUCAUUUAUCAGUGUGGGCCUGCUCCUCUCCCUGCGCACUCUCAUUUUUUCACAGUCCCGAUCCUGGUACUGUUGCACCCCAAACUACAUCUGUGUAACUCUCAGACUUGCACACAACCGAGCAUACCUACAGCUGUGGGAAAAGUUAUGUGUUUUUCUCUCCAAAUUCAAAAUAUAAACACUUAAGAUAACAAAACAUAACUAAAUUAACAUAAAUAUUUUAGUU